CUAGCUGCUACCAAAGAGGCUAUUUCUCAUCUAUGCCUUAUAGAUGAUAUAUGAGAUCCAUUUUAUUUGUGUUUUGCAGUCCUGAGACUAGAACCAUGGAUGCCAAGAGGUUCCUGAAUGCAGCUCUCGGUCAAAAAUCAGGCCAAGGACAGACCAAAUUCAACCACAAGACCAAAAUUUAAAAAUUACAAUACAGAAAAUACAUACAUAUAUUAAUUUC